GCUGGGUGCAGUGGUGCGUGUUUGUAGUCCCAGCUACUCAGGAGGCUGAGGCUUGUGGAUCACUUGAGUCCAGGAGUUCUGGGCUGUAGUGUGCUAUGCCAAUCAGGUAUCCGCACUAAGUUCGGCAUCAGUAUGGUGACGAAGUGGGGGACCACCAGGUUGCCUAAGGAGGGGUGUAAUGGCCCAGGUCAGAAAUGGAGCAGGCCAAAACUCCUGUGCUGAUCAGUAGUGGGAUCGUCCCUGUGAAUAGCCACUGCACUCUAGCCUGGGCAACAUAGCGAGACCUCGUCUCU
rnacentral:SRP_RNA from 1 species